GAUGUUUUGACAGUUGAUUCAUUUACAAAAACCUUAAUUACUAAUUAUUUCGUAUCGGAGAUAAAAGAUAAAGAAAAUAUUUUAAAAUGAAUAGAAAACAGUCUACAAACUCUGUAUUUCCAUAUUUGUACGAACAAGUUGAAUUAAAACCCAUUAUUUCUGGCACUCAUGGAGCUUCUUAUGACAGGAGAGUCAAAAUAACCGACUGGCAAGAUCGAUAUUUAAUAGAACCACGUGACAAAACAGAUUUUUUUCCACCAAAAGGAAAUUUGCGAAUGGCUACUUAUAACAGAUUAGGAACUUAUGAGCCUCAAAAAUAUUUAACAGAAACGAAAGAAAACAUUAGAAAAUAUGAACCUUCCGAUUUUGAAAAACACCCUGCACCAGUCAAGAUGCUAAAUAUUUUUUCUUAUCCACUCACUGAUACUGAUGACAAAUCUAAAGUCAACACUGAAAUAAAAAUAUCCCGCAGCCCAGAAAACGUACCCGAAAUUAUAGAGGAAUUACCAAAUACUUUGUACAGAAGAACUUUGGGAUAUACUUUGGAAGAUCUUGAAAAAUUAGAAGGCACAAGAACUUUCUUAGACGAGGAUUUAGAAUUGCAUAAAAAAAUAGCUGAUAUCAAAAUAAAGCAAUACGAUAGAUAAAAUUUAAUCAAAACUAGGGCAUUUAAAAAAUUGCAUGAACAAUUUAAAAAUAUAAAUGAACGGAAAAAUAGAAACGACUGAAAAUUAAUUUUUUGCGAGUUUCGUCAGUUUCUUUACUUUCACAAAUAAGGGGCCGAGCAUACAUUACGUAAGAUGGCUCAAAUAUGGCACCCUUGGAUUUCUGGCACAUUAAAACGUGUACUCCAUUAGUAAUAGUAGGAGUUGAAUGCUCUUUAGGAUAGUAGAAAAAAUGAUAAGCCUUAAAUGUCCAUUUUAUAUCUUGCGAAUGGAGUUGUAUUAAUAAAUAUUGCCUAUACAAGCAAAUCACAUUUAGACAUUCACUUUGCCAGAGAAGGAAUCUUAAUUAGAGUGUACUACCUGCAACGAAUGAUCCUAGAGGGUUUGGAGAAAGUCUCCGCGAUUCAAAAAAAAGGCAAUGAAACUAAGAUUGAAGGGCAGAGAUGUGGUUGCUGAUGCACGAUUUCGAAUUAAGAAAACCGCCACUUUUCUAUAUGACUUCGGCAAUCUCUGGAUGUAGAAGUUCGCGAAACUCAAGUUUCUGUUUU